rnacentral:lncRNA from 1 species
AUGGAGAAGGGCCCCCACAAGUAUGAUGGUUGCUGCCUCCCAGGGCCAGGGAAGAAGAAAGAAGAGUUUCAGGCAUGCUGGCUUCUGCUUCAGCCCCCUGAGCAGACGGUGCCGUGGAAAGCAAAUGGAUCCAGGAAACUUUCAGCUUGGGCUGCAAGGUAAGAUUUCUAUUCAUCUCUGAAAUGCACUAAUCUUUUUGAACAACAAAGGAAAGCUGGAGUCGGCAUUUCAGCCUGCCAAGACUUCAUAUCCCAGAGAUGAGAAAGAAGAGGCCGCUUCUUGGAUAGCUCUGUUGCAGGCCACAUAACAAAAAACCACCCAGGACAAGUCCAUUAUGAGCACAGCAUGAGAAAUAGAGGAAGGAAGAUUUGUAUUCGACGGAACGGUGUUACUGCGUUUUAUCUAUUUUGCUGACGGUAAAGCCGAGGGCCUUCUCUUGUUUCUUUCUUACUGUUGGUGUGCUCUGUUCUCUGAAGCAUUUAGGACUUAAUUAAAGUAGUUUAAGCGGCCAUAGUCUGUCAAGCUUACAAUUCCCCUUGAAAACCUCUCUAUUCUCCCCUUAGUGAAUUUCAUUAUAAGCAAAUCAAAGAGAAAAGCUCUGAA